AUGGAUCUAGACCUGGGCAUCUACAUCAAAUACCGACUGGAUGGCUCACUAUUUGACCUUCGCCUCCUGACUGCAAAAACAAAGACAACAAAGAGACUCAUCCUGGAAGCUCUCUUUGCAGAUGACUGUGCUCUCAUGGCCCACCAAGAAAAUCAUCUCCAAACCAUUGUGGACAGGUUCUCCACCGCAACCAAACUGUUUGGCCUGACUAUCAGCCUCAGCAAAGCAGAGGUGCUGUUCCAACCUGCACCAGGGAGGCCAACUAACCAGCCGUGCAUUACAAUCAACGGCACGCAGCUUUCUAACAUCAACACUUUCAAGUGCCUGGGCAGCACCAUCGCCAACGACGGGUCCCUAGACCACGAGAUUAAUGCCAGGAUCCAAAAGGCCAGCCAGGCACUCGGGCGGCUGCUCUGCAAAGUCCUCCAACACAGCGGUGUAAGCACUGCGACGAAGCUCAAAGUGUACAACGCAGUGGUCCUCAGCUCGCUCCUGUACAGUUGUGAGACAUGGACACUGUACCGGAAGCACAUGAAACAGCUGGAGCAAUUCCACCAACGCUCCCUCCGGUCAAUCAUGAGGAUCCGAUGGCAGGACCGAAUCACCAACCAGGAAGUCCUAGACAGAGCCAACUCCACCAGCAUCGAAGUCCUGGUCCUCAAAACCCAGCUACGAUGGUCUGGACACGUCAUCCGCAUGGACCCACAGCGAAUACCAAGACAGGUAUUCUAUGGUGAACUGUCAGCUGGACUCAGGAAACAAGGCCGACCAAAGAAAAGAUUCAAGGAUCAGCUAAAGUCCAACUUGAAGUGGGCUGGCAUCACACCAAAGCAACUAGAACUCGCUGCCUCUGACAGAAGCAGCUGGCGAACCCACAUUAACCAUGCCACCGCCACCUUUGAAGAUGAGCCACGUCGACGUCUUGCCGCUGCGCAUGAACGCCGACACCAGGCCACAGCCGCACCUCCCAUAACAGCUGGCGUCCCAGGCCCCAUGUGCCACAAACUCUGCGCCUCAGCCUUUGGACUCCAAAGCCACAUGAGGGUACACCGUAGAUGA
rnacentral:lncRNA from 1 species